GCUGGAGUAGCUCAGUCGGUAGAGCACAUCCUUGGUAAGGAUGAGGUCAAGGGUUCGAUUCCCUUCUCCAGCU
rnacentral:tRNA from 1 species